rnacentral:rRNA from 1 species
UGAGCAAUCUGCCCUUCUCAUCGGAAUAAGCGUUGGAAACGACGUCUAAUGCCGAAUACGACCUCCUUUCGCAUGAUCGGAGGUGGAAAGCUCCGGCGGAGAAGGAUGAGCUCGCGGCCUAUCAGCUAGUUGGUGUGGGUAAUGGCCCACCAAGGCGACGACGGGUAGCCGGCCUGAGAGGGUGACCGGCCACACUGGGACUGAGACACGGCCCAGACUCCUACGGGAGCA